UACGUAGGGUGCAAGCGUUGUCCGGAAUUCUUGGGCGUAAAGAGCUCGUAGGCGGUCUGUUGCGUCGGCUGUGAAAACCCGGGGCUCAACUCCGGGCCUGCAGCCGAUACGGGCAGACUAGAGUUCGGCAGGGGAGACUGGAAUUCCUGGUGUAGCGGUGAAAUGCGCAGAUAUCAGGAGGAACACCGGUGGCGAAGGCGGGUCUCUGGGCCGAUACUGACGCUGAGGAGCGAAAGCGUGGGGAGCGAACAGG
rnacentral:rRNA from 1 species